UACGUAGGGUGCGAGCGUUAAUCGGAAUUACUGGGCGUAAAGCGCGCGUAGGCGGCCUCGUAAGUCCGUUGUGAAAGUCAAAGGCUCAACCUUUGAAAGCCGAUGGAUACUGUGAGGCUAGAGUCCGGAAGAGGCGAGUGGAAUUCCUGGUGUAGCGGUGGAAUGCGCAGAUAUCAGGAGGAACACCGAUAGCGAAGGCAGCUCGCUGGGACGGUACUGACGCUAAGGCGCGAAAGCGUGGGGAGCGAACAGG
rnacentral:rRNA from 1 species